rnacentral:rRNA from 1 species
UGAACACACGUCUAACCUGAUAAGGACAAGAUACCCAUGAUAGGUUCAAGAUCAGAAACAGACCAAAUCAUUUUGGUUACCUAACAAGAACUGAAGCUCAAGCAAAACUGAUCUCAUCAAACCCAUAUGUUCUUACCGAUAAAAUCCAAGGCUAAAGAACUUGGGUGAUUCUAAACUCUUGAACACCAAAACUUCAGCUCUUAACCACACCAGAAAACACUGAUUAAAGUCACAGGAUGGUGAGAAAGGGUCGUCCAAGCUCACUUCUCUUCCCUGAUUUUUUUCUGAAUUUUUCAACUAAUGUUUCUAACAGAUUUUUCUCUUUUCUUUCUCUCUUUCUCCCUGAAUUUUCUCUGGUUUUUCUUGCAGUAACAGGACGUCCAGAGGAGAGAAGAAGAUGCCUUAUACCAUAUGGGGUUGCUUCAGCUCAGGGUUUUCUCUUUACACAAAGUGGUAGUUUGGAGAAACAUGUGGCAACCAGCUUCAGCACAAGCAGCUCACCUUUCCCUUACAAGAAAAAAGCUGCAAGCAGCUGAAGCAAACAGCUUGUGACCAGCAUGUGACUUCUAAUAAGCAAGCAGGUAAGCAAGUAGGUGCAUGUCAUGUGACCUAAUUACUGAGAAAGCAAGUAGGCUAGAUGGUGCAAGGCAUGUGACUGUUCAGAAAUAAUUUUAAGAGUUUGUCGAUAUUUUUCGGACUGUUUCGACUAAAUAUUUUUCAUCAUUCGAAUCUCGUGCUGCUCUGAAUAAACUCUCCUAGCAUGAAUAAAAAUCGACAAUAAUAAUUAACACUCGACCAGAAUCAUCAAGAGAUGGUUUUUCGACCAAAAGACAGCCCGUCGAGAGGUUAAUUCAACGUGUCUAUUUUUAUUUAAAUUCUGAUCGAUCAAUCUUCAAACUGAUCUUGAAGAAUUUUCUCUACCAAAAUUCUAUCUGCUCGUGAGGGUUAUUACACCGGCGGCCCUUGAAAAUACGAAGGACCGAGUGCCGCUCACGCCCGGUCGUACUCAUAACCGCAUCAGGUCUCCAAGGUGAACAGUCUCUGGUCGAUGGAACAAUGUAGGCAAGGAAGUCGGCAAAAUGGAUCCGUAACUUUGGGAAAAGGAUUGGCUCUGAGGGCUGGGCUCGGGGGUCCCAGUUCCGUACCCGUCAACUGUUGGCGGGAUGCUUGAGCUGCGGACGUGGCGAGAGCGGACCGCCUCGUGUCGGCAGGGGGACGGACUGGGAACGGCUCUUUCGGGAUCUUUCCCCGGGCGUCGAACAGCCAACUCAGAACUGGUACGGACAAGGGGAAUCCGACCGUUUAAUUAAAACUAAGCAUUGCGAUGGUCCUUGCGGAUGCUAACGCAAUGUGAUUUCUGCCCAGUGCUCUGAAUGUCAAAGUGAAGAAAUUCAACCAAGCGCGGGUAAAUGGCGGGAGUAACUAUGACUCUCUUAAGGUAGCCAAAUGCCUCGUCAUCUAAUUUGUGAUGCGCAUGAAUGGAUUAACGAGAUCCCACUGUCCCUGUAUACUAUCCAGGGAAACCACAGCCAAGGGAACCGGCUUGGCAGAAUCAGCGGGGAAAGAAGACCCUGUUGAGUUUGACUCUAGUCCGACUUUGUGAAAUGACUUGAGAGGUGUAGAAUAAGUGGGAGCUCCGGCGCAAGUGAAAUACCACUACUUUUAACGUUAUUUUACUUACUCAGUGAUUCAGAGGCGGGGUAACAACCACUUCUUUUAGACCCAAGACUCGCUUCGGUGGGUCAAUCCGGGCGGAGGACAUUGUCAUGUGGGGAGUUUGGCUGGGGCGGCACAUCUGUUAAAAGAUGAGCUCAACGAGAACAGAAAUCACGUGUGGAACAAAAGGGUAAAAGCUCAUAUGAUUCUGAUUUUUAACCAAGUGUUGGAUUGUUCACCCACCAAUAGGGAACGUGAGCUGGGUUUAGACCGUCGAGAGACAGAUUAGUUUUACCCUACUGAUGCCCGCGUCGCAAUAGUAAUUCAACCUAGUACGAGAGGAACCGUUGAUUCGCACAAUUGGUCAUCGGGCUUGGUUGAAAAGCUAGUGGCGUGAAGCUACCGUGCGCUGGAUUAUGACUGAACGCCUCUAAGUCUGAAUCUGGGCUAGAAGCGACGCAUGCACCCGCUGCCUGAUUGCCGACCCUCAGUAGGAGCUUCGGCUCCCAAAGGCACAUGUCGUUGGCUAAGUCCGUUCGACAGAAGCGCCGUUCGGACCGCCUUGAAUUAUAAUUACCACCGAGCGGCGGGUAGAAUCCUUUGCAGAUGACUUAAAUACGCGACGGGGUAUUGUAAGUGGCAAAGUGGCCUUGCUGCCACGAUCCACUGAGAUUCAGCCAUUUUUCACUAAUAUUCGACCCUCCCCCUU